GUCCACGCCGUAAACGAUGAGUGCUAGGUGCUGCGGGUAUUGACCCCUGCGGUGCCGUAGCUAACGCGUUAAGCACUCCGCCUGGGGAGUACGGCCGCAAGGCUAAAACUCAAAGGAAUUGACGGGGGCCCGCACAAGCGGUGGAGCAUGUGGUUCAAUUCGACGCAACGCGCAGAACCUUACCUGGGUUAAAUCCACUCGAAGCUGGCAGAGAUGCCGGUGUGCCUUUCGGGGAGCGAGUGAGAAGGUGCUGCAUGGCUGUCGU
rnacentral:rRNA from 1 species